rnacentral:rRNA from 1 species
AUGUCUAGCUCCGGCGUCAAUGCCAUACCCGCAACCAACCAUGAGGAGCAGAGCCUGGCGGCCCCCGCUCCGCCCCCUGCGGCCGCGAUCGCCCAGGGGAAAGGGAAGGUGCUUGUGCAACAGGUGCCUGCGCCAGUGGUUCACAGGCGCAAGCCCGGGAGACCCCAGGAGACAAGCCCGCCCCCAGCGGCCACCAGAGAGGAGCUGGAAUCCCGGGAGUCCCGGGAAGGCCCCUUGAAGGUGCUUGCGCUCCCGGCGCCAGGGGCCCCGCGUACUCACGCUGUCUCUGGCGACAAGAUGAUGAGACGCGCUCGCGCCCCCACCCGGCAUGCCAACGUUGUCUCCGACGACAAGAUGGUGAGCCGCGUUCGCGCCUCCACCCUGCAUGCAAACCGUGUCUCCGAUGACAAGAUGAACGACAUGGCGAGCCGCGCUCGCGCCCCCACACGGCGUGCAAGCGCUGUAUCCGACAACAAGAUGAUCGACAGGGACGAGAUGGCGCCGGACCAGGGGGUGCCACGCAUGCGGGGGAGCAUCGCGUCGUCAAGUGCGGUUGGUGGGGUCGAGAGUGAAGGACUGGGGAGCUUGGAAGCAGGGGAAAUGGCACCUAGAGGGGUUCAGAUCUCCAUGAUCAAUAACCACAAUUUUGAUCUGAAUGAGCUGUCGACUGAGCAUGAGUAG